rnacentral:rRNA from 1 species
GACGUAGGGCGCGAGCGUUGUCCGGAUUUAUUGGGCGUAAAGAGCUCGUAGGCGGCUUGUUGCGUCAGCUGUGAAAACCCGCAGCUCAACUGUGGGCUUGCAGCUGAUACGGGCAGGCUUGAGUUCGGUAGGGGAGACUGGAAUUCCUGGUGUAGCGGUGAAAUGCGCAGAUAUCGGGAGGAACACCAAUGGCGAAGGCAGCUCGCUGGGACGGUACUGACGCUGAGACGCGAAAGCGUGGGGAGCAACAGG